UUUGAACUUUUAUGGUGUCUUCUCUUCCAUAUUGGUUGCAACCAGUUCAAUGCUCUAAAACACAGUUGGUCUCAGAUCUUUUGGUUGAUCAUUCCCCUGAAGUCUUUCUUUUGAAGGAGGCAUUGGAACGACAUUCCUGCUAUUCAAAGAAAUCAUACUUGCUGGUGUGCAGUUACAUUGGCUCUGUGUUGUUGACCCAUCAACUGAUGAUCGUCAUGACCGAGGUGCGCUGGCAGAAUCACAGGUGUUCCACACUGUAAUGAUCCACUGCGUUAUUUGCUGCCUUCGAACAAGCACCAAGGAAGGAGGAAGCAUAAAGGAGACCAAAGUAACUUUGACAAGAAGACACUAGCAGGGCCAAUGGCGAUAAGAUGGUAUUUGGGGGAAAUUGUGAAAAUGAUGUAUUGGGUGAGAAGUACUUUCAGAAAGAUGGAGCAAGGAUCUCCAAAACCCUAUUUCUCCACAAAAAGCAAAAAGAACACUGGCAAAAAUGAUCAAAAUCAACUUUUUCAAAACUCUGAAAAUUAAGUAAAGGCUUGUAAGAGCUUGAAGAGCCUUUAUUCAACUGAAACUUGGUAAGAACAGUGAGCUUUGUGGAUUUUUAAUUUGCCCUGUCCCAUCCUUCUCUCUCCAGCUCCCUCUCUAGUUGCAAGGUUGCUAGUUCUCAACAAUUCCAGAGUACUGUCACUAUGUGACCUGUCUUUAGCUUGCUUAUCAGCUGCCAGGCCACAUAGCAAUGGGUAGUCAGGAAACCCUAAGCCUGGCUGCGGUGCAGA